CGAAUAAACUGUCAUUUCAAAUACAAAAAGUGCCUAAAAUUCAGUUCUCUGUUUCUGUGUCCUGGCACCCACUGUACUAACACUGACCUGUUGGGGCUUAUGAGAGUCACUGAUGAGAGGCUUCAGUUAAAAGCAGUUGAAAACAAAAGUGGCGAAAGAAUAUUUCUGGAUUUUGUGGAAGAAAAGACAAUGGAAAAUAUAACUACCGCAAGUGCUCUGGAUAAAAGUGAACAAGGCUGACUUUGAUUAAAUAAAGUUGUAGUGUACAAAUAACUUCAGAACGCCUAUUAAAGCUGGGAAAAAUUGAUCAGUCACGACGCGUUAAGUUAUGGCCCCUUAACACAAUAUAUAAUGCC